UUCCGGUUGAUCCCGCCGGACCUGACUGCUAUCGGAUUAAUACUAAGCCAUGCGAGUCUUUGUAGUAAUACAAGGCAGACGGCUCAGUAACACGUAGUCAACCUACCCUAUGGACGAGGAUAAUCUCGGGAAACUGAGCAUAAUACUCGAUAGACCAUAAUGCCUGGAAUGGUUUAUGGUUGAAAUGAUUCGUCGCCAUAGGAUGGGACUGCGGCCUAUCAGCUUGUUGGUGAGGUAAUGGCCCACCAAGGCGAUUACAGGUACGGGCUCUGAGAGGAGAAGCCCGGAGAUGGGUACUGAGACAAGGACCCAGGCCCUAUGGGGCGCAGCAGGCGAGAAAACUUUGCAAUGUGCGAAAGCACGACAAGGUUAGUCCGAGUGAUUUCUGCUAAAGAGAUCUUUUGCAAGUCAUAAAACCACUAGUGAAUAAGGGGUGGGCAAGUUCUGGUGUCAGCCGCCGCGGUAAAACCAGCACCUCAAGUGGUCAGGAGGAUUAUUGGGCCUAAAGCAUCCGUAGCCGGCUCUGUAAGUUUUCGGUUAAAUCCAUAUGCUCAACAUAUGGGCUGCCGAAAAUACUGCAGAGCUAGGGAGUGGGAGAGGUAGACGGUACUCAGUAGGAAGGGGUAAAAUCCUUUGAUCUAUUGAUGACCACCUGUGGCGAAGGCGGUCUACCAGAACACGUUCGACGGUGAGGGAUGAAAGCUGGGGGAGCAAACCGGAUUAGAUACCCGGGUAGUCCCAGCUGUAAACGAUGCAGACUCGAUGAUGCAUUGGCAUAUAGCCAGUGCAGUGUCGCAGGGAAGCCGUUAAGUCUGCCGCCUGGGAAGUACGUACGCAAGUAUGAAACUUAAAGGAAUUGGCGGGGGAGCACCACAAGGGGUGAAGCCUGCGGUUCAAUUGGAGUCAACGCCGGG
rnacentral:rRNA from 1 species